CACCUACUCCCUCCGUUCCGAAUUACUUGUCGCGGGCAUGGAUGUAUCUAGAUGUAUUUUAGUUCUAGAUACAUCCAUUUCUGUGACGAGUAAUUUGGAAUGGAGGGAGUACAUG
rfam:Triticum urartu cultivar G1812 contig1109233, whole genome shotgun sequence.